CCGACCUUAGCUCAGUUGGUAGAGCGGAGGACUGUAGUUUGAGUGCUGAAAUCCUUAGGUCGCUGGUUCGAAUCCGGCAGGUCGGA
rnacentral:tRNA from 2 species